GGCCCAUAAUUAGGGCAGAACCAACAUCCCCCGCCCCGCAAGGAAACUCAACUGUGUCUCUGAAGUCUCGGCACUCGGCAGUAGCCGUUUCUCAGCAACGGUCACCUGCAGCCUCGGCAACAGCGCAGCAGUCUCAGCAGUAGCCUCCGGAAUACAGCUAAUAUAGUUCUUAAACUGCGGCAAACUAACCAUUGUUUCCUCUCCUUCACUCUGGCAACGAGGAUGCCGAGCGUUUGCCGGAAUGGAAGUUACGGCGAGUGCUUCUCCAUUAAAAGUAUAUCACAACAUUAAAGGAAAAAUUAGAGCAAUCAAGUGCUGAGACUACACCGAAUAGAACACACAGGCAUUGAGUGGACCCUUGGAUGAUUGUUUGAAGCUGUUGAGAGGCCAGUGGGAUGAGCAAAAGCUGGUCGGUCUCCUUCUCACCUCAAAAUUCUGUCAUGGGGACGACACAACUGCUGUUCUAAAGGUCUAUGAUGCUGUCGGUGCUUGUUUUCUUCAGAGACUCAUCUUAACUGGUAUGGUAAAGGGAUCUGGUGGGUUUGGUAGUGCGGAGGAUAAAGAGCCAUAUUUGAGGCUCUCCAUCACCCUUCUUACUGCAUUGUGUCAGGUGCCAGAAAUUGCUUCAUAUGAGGAAAUGGUCUCUAAAGUUCCUCUUGUAGCUGAAAUAGUUACAAAAUCGUCUGACCCUUGUUGCUGUUGCUUCGGAUAGUGGAAGAGCAAAGUUUUAUCAACCUGGAGUCAAUUACCUGUUGCUCUUGCUUUGGAUGCAGCUCCUGUUUCAGCAGCCACCUCUCCAAGGUCGUCAAUAGGAGAUAUUUGGCCUCCAGACUCUCGAUAAUGUUUCUCCUUGACCUUGGCUUCGUGAAUCUGCACUUGACUCCCACCAGGGGUAGAAAGGUUAGGAGGAGAUGAUUGUCGUAGGACUAACCUUUUUCCCUGAGAGCGAAACUCUGAUGGAGCUCUUGUCUCAGGUGACUCCGUUAGAUCAGUCGCAUGGGUAGAAGCUGUGAUUGUCAGAGAAUAUAACAUCGCAUGAGUGGCGGUAUUGGGGCUAACUCAGACCCUUCACUAUUAAUGAUGUCGGACACUAGAGAAGGAAGAUAAACUAGCGCCUAAUAAGACACUCACCUUUAUCCAUCGACAUGAGCUGGUCGCUGUUGGAUGUCAACUCCCAGUUCAGUUUCUUGCUGAUGGAAGUGUCAUAUAAAGUUUUAUUUGCAAUACAAAGAAAGGAUAAUUAAUACAUAAAGAAAAUUACUAGACAUGAAAAUCUCACCCAAGCUGUCAGUCAGCGGCAUAUUUUUGGGGCUGAACCCGACCAGAUGAAGCAACGCCUCAUUCUCCACCAAGAGGAUGACGUUCAACAUUAGGUCCUUAAGAAUGAAGGUCGUCUCUAAGUACACUGGCUCCGAUUUGUAGUCUCCCAUCUUAAAUUAUUGUGGAGUUCGUCGAGCCAGAGAGUAGACCAAAUAUAGGGUUUAGGUCGUUUAAUGAAAAAGAAUCGAUCUUUCCAUGCUUUGUUGGAGGUUGGACAGUCACCCAAAAAUUUACAUUUAUUCCUGGUAGUAAAAUGAAGGUUCCAGGUUCGGGAGGCCAAAUGUAAAAAUGAUAAUGGAAGAUAACUUUGUUAAGGGGAAUGUCAUAUAUCCGGAAGAUGAUGGAUGCGCCGCAAAUCAUACGGUAGGAGUUGGGUUGCAGUUGAGAUACCGAAAUAAUGAGCUAAAUCUUGUAUGGAGGGGAUGGGAAAUCGUAAGCCGCCUAUCAAUUGACUAUAGAAGAAAGUAGUAAAAUCGGAAGGAGGAAUGUUAGGUCGAUGAUCUCGUCGGAGAAUCCUAAUCUCAUGGUCUAACGGAAUGAUGUAAAGCUCCCGUAGUUUGGGUCUUGCAGCUUCAAGGAGAAUCGUCUAUUGAGUCACAUACCAUCUGAUGGAGGAUCUACUAGCAAUCAUAGUUGUAGAGGAAAAAAAAGCGGAAGAGUAGAGAAAUGGAGGAAAAAAUCCAGUUGAAGGAGUCACAACUUACUUAUCUUUGCAGGGAUAGAAGACAAAAGAUGGAGAAAGGAGAAGAGCGCAAGAACACAAUAGUGAAAGGUAGCGAAAAUAGUUAGAAGAAGGCUAACGGUGGUAUUGCAGGGAUCUUCCUACCAUCUGAUGAGUGUGCUAGACAAAAACAACCACCAUCAAAUCACCACCAUUAAAAACAUUGGUAGGGAUAAUUUACGAGUUGACUUUUCAUUUUCCGUGGUAUUCUAAGAUGACUAUUGGAUCUAGAAGUAAAAAAUGUGUCACUAUACCUCACCAUUAGAUUAAAAUUGACGUUAAAAAUGUUGCCAGCACACACCCCUGCAUUUAAGGCGGUUCGGCGUGCUCGUGGCCCAAAGCGGAGAGCGCAUGCAGCUCAUGAAAUGCCUUACCACAUUAAAUUACCAAGCAUUUGAUCAUGUACAUUAAAUACCGCAUUUUUUCGUUUCUUUUGUAGCCGAGACCCCACAUAACAUUCGGAGCAGAACCGAUGCAUUACAAAAUUAAUUGACGAUAGUGUGUUACGCCUCAGCAUAACACAAUAUAUGAAGAAAAAAAAGAAUUCCAAAAAUAUAGAGUUCUUGGAGUAAUUGACUAUCAUAAGAUAAAAGUACUGUCCCACCUAGAGUAUUAAAAAAAAACAACAAAGCAUAAAGCUUACUUAUCUACUUUAAAGGGCAAAUACAGAGUUCUACAAGAAGUAGGUAGGAGUGUAAUGGAGAUAAACCCUUUAUUGAUACGAUAGAAUCUAGAGUUGCCGCAAGAUCCAUUAAAAGAGGUUCACAAAAGAAAUCACAAUUUUUAUGAUAAAAAUCUGAUGUAAGCCUAGCAGAACCAUUGGAUUAAAGUUUUCUAAGCCUUUUUCAGCAAGAAUUCUUGAUCAGACUAGAUCAUGAAAUUAGGUUAUGGAUGCGAUUUUAACUUGGUAAGUUGUAUCCAUCGGGUUUAAGCAGAGCUACCGGUGAUAUGCCAUAUAACAAUUUGAAGUAAUCUCAGAUGAACACUAUGUAAUUCUGAGUAUCAAAGAUUCAAAGCUAUUUUUAUGAAAUUUAUCUGAUAUAUCUCAUUGUCUUAGUAACCAAUGAUUGUACUAAUCCAACAUUUUCUUAGCCUUUGAUAUCAACAUAAUUGAUAAUGCCCAUCUGAUUCAAUUAAUUAAUCAAUAGGGUCAACUUAUUUCAGUCAGAUAGGAGAUAGGUUGACUUUGGGUCGACCAAUAGCCUUCAUCUUAGUUGGAGUCAAUUUACCAAGUUUAAGACGUCCCUUGAAUGAUGCAAGCGGAGAGGAUACAUUCAAUGUCCUAUAGCAGGAUUUAGUCAGCAUGGUUAUAAAGAAUUUCAGAAGUAGUGCCUACAAGCUAAUUUAGGCAAAUUAUCUAGGACAUUGGUUGCCUUUUCCAUUUCGUUUUUUUUAAUGAGCGGUCUUAAAUGGUGAUGGUGAAAAGCACAAUCAAUUGACAUGACAUAUUAAAUAUUAUGUACAAAGUAUUAAUGAAAGAUAAUUAGCAAAGAAACAUAUUGUGCACUACUUUCUGCCCUCAGUCUCUAACACUGUCUUUCUGCCCUCCUUUAUUCUUUCAAUGGAAUGGUUGAGUCUCUCUAUUGAUAUCAAUAGCCUGCUCCUUUGCUUGGGUGAGGCAUGUAGUGCAAAAGAAAAGAUGGCAGUUGCAAAGACAUGGGCAUGAGCGGUGAUAGUAUGGGAUGGCUGUCAUGGGGAGGACCCUUCCAAACAUGAAUGAUAAAGAAAUGUAGAAUGGCUACGGAUGGACAAUUUAUAUUCUCCUAAGAGGUACCUCUCAAUGGAUCAUGAAUAAGGACCAAAUGAAUGUGCGCUAAUAAAGGUUGCCACAAUUGCCUCAUGUUGUUAUCCAUUUAUGCUAUGUUGAAGUUAUAUUGUGAAUUGCCUCAUGCUUACUAACAGUUCUGUCUUAUGAAUUGCAUCAUGUUAUUCCUGUUGGAAAUUGCUUCAUGCUUAUCAUGCUGAAAUUUGGUUGUGAAUUGUUGUAGAUUUACAAUGUUCAAGUUCUGUCCUAUGAAUUGCCUCAUGUUAUGUUCCAAUAUGCUAUGUUGUAGUUCUAUAUUGAAA